AACGUAGGAGGCGAGCGUUAUCCGGAGUUACUGGGCGUAAAGCGCGUGUAGGUGGUUGGAUACGUCUGCUGUGAAAUGUCCCGGCUUAACCGGGAGGGUGCGGCAGAUACGGUCUGACUUGAGGGCGACAGGGGCUGGUGGAAUCCCCGGUGUAGUGGUGAAAUGCGUAGAGAUCGGGGGGAACACCCGUGGCGAAGGCGGCCAGCUGGGCCGACCCUGACACUGAGGCGCGAAGGCGUGGGGAGCGAACGGG
rnacentral:rRNA from 1 species